rnacentral:rRNA from 1 species
UAGGGAAUCUUCCGCAAUGGACGCAAGUCUGACGGAGCAACGCCGCGUGAGUGAAGAAGGAUUUCGGUUCGUAAAACUCUGUUGUUAGAGAAGAACAGCGCAUAGAGUAACUGUUAUGCGUGUGACGGUAUCUAACCAGAAAGCCACGGCUAACUACGUGCCAGCAGCCGCGGUAAUACGGAGGUGGCAAGCGUUGUCCGGAUUUAUUGGGCGUAAAGCGAGCGCAGGCGGUCAAUUAAGUCUGAUGUGAAAGCCCCCGGCUCAACCGGGGAGGGUCAUUGGAAACUGGUUGACUUGAGUGCAGAAGAGGAGAGUGGAAUUCCAUGUGUAGCGGUGAAAUGCGUAGAUAUAUGGAGGAACACCAGUGGCGAAGGCGACUCUCUGGUCUGUCACUGACGCUGAGGCUCGAAAGCGUGGGUAGCAAACAGG